UAAGAUGCACCUGAAACACAUUUUUACAACAGGGUCCUGUUGUUAUGAUUUGCCUCAUUGUGAUAUUCACCUACUCAGGUUAAUGAACAUAAAGGGAUAAAAUGUUGAGUGACUUUGUCCAUUCAUUUAAGACCACAGUGCACUCAUCUUCUGGUGGCUGCUUCCCAAAGCUCUUUUUGACAUUUAAAAAUAUGUUUGCCUGGUUGAUUUCUGUAAUGCACAGGUCCUCUUGUCCAGUGAGUGACAAAGUUAUUUUUGGACGUCAGCUUUCUUUUAUGCUUUUUGUACAGCUGCUCCUCUGUCUCUCUCUCCAGAUUAACUUUUUUUCUCUUACAUUCACAGGCUGUUAAUCGAUGGCUUUCAAAAUCAGAGUCCGGGGUCCAUGGGCUUUCUAACACCCAAAAGAGAAAUGAAAUCAUUUCUUUCUUUUGUAAGCUGAAAGCUUGCACAUCUGAGGACGACUUUAAAGCCACAUCAGCAGAGUUCUGCCAGACAUUUAAGCAAUACCCUUUGGUGUGCCAGUAUUUUCAGAAGCACUGGGAAGGCAUUGGCCACAUGUGGUGUGACUACGGCCGUCGCUUCAGUCACGCUCGUUCUGAAACAAACAAUGUGAUUGAAAGAUUUUUCCACCGCCUGAAAUACCAGUUUUUAUCUGGCUACAAGAAUAGGCGUCUGGAUGAUCUGAUUGAAGUGCUCCUAGGGAAGGCCGACGACUACUUCUCAGUCAUAAAAACCCUGCAAGAUGUGGGCCGCAUGAAAAACAGGUUUGCUGACACCUUGUCUCAAGUUUCAGACUCUGCUUCAAGACUGA